rnacentral:rRNA from 1 species
AUUGAACGCUGGCGGCAGGCUUAACACAUGCAAGUCGAGCGGGGUGAUGGUGCUUGCACUAUCACUUAGCGGCGGACGGGUGAGUAAUGCUUAGGAAUCUGCCUAUUAGUGGGGGACAACAUCUCGAAAGGGAUGCUAAUACCGCAUACGUCCUACGGGAGAAAGCAGGGGAUCACUUGUGACCUUGCGCUAAUAGAUGAGCCUAAGUCGGAUUAGCUAGUUGGUGGGGUAAGGGCCUACCAAGGCGACGAUCUGUAGCGGGUCUGAGAGGAUGAUCCGCCACACUGGGACUGAGACACGGCCCAGACUCCGACGGGAGGCAGCAGUGGGGAAUAUUGGACAAUGGGGGGAACCCUGAUCCUGCCAUGCCGCGUGUGUGAAGAAGGCCUUAUGGUUGUAAAGCACUUUAAGCGAGGAGGAGGCUCUUUUGGUUAAUACCCAAGAUGAGUGGACGUUACUCGCAGAAUAAGCACCGGCUAACUCUGUGCCAGCAGCCGCCGCGG